rnacentral:rRNA from 1 species
AUUGAACGCUGGCGGCAGGCCUAACACAUGCAAGUCGAACGAGCGGCAGACGUGUGAGUAAUGCCUGGGAAUUCCCCAGUCGAGGGGUAUAUCAGUUGUACACUACUUCUAAUACCGCAUCCUAUUUGAUUGCCCAGGUGGGAUUAGCUAGUUGGUGAGGUAAUGGCUCACCAAGGCGACGAUCCCUAGCUGGUCUGAUUGGAAGAGCAGCCACACUGGAACUGAGAAACGGUCCAGACUCCUACGGGAGGCAGCAGUGGGGAAUAUUGCACAAUGGGGGAAAGCCUGAUGCAGCCAUGCCGCGUGUGUGAAGAAGGCCUUCGGGUUGUAAAGCACUUUCAGCGAGGAGGCGUUACUCGCAGAAGAAGCACCGGCUAACUCCGUGCCAGCAGCCGCGGUAAUUC